UGUUCCAAAGUAAGUUAAGUCAUUAGUUGGGUAUAUUUUAGAUAAUUAAUUUAAUUGGUGAUUUAAUGUACUAAAGUUGUAAUUUACUUACAUAGGUGGUCAAUACAAGAACUAAUUUAAGUGGAAAUGGUUUGGUAAUAGAUGAUAAUAUUAAUAUCAUCAAAAAGUUGGGGCUAGGGGAAUAUGACAGUUAGCGUAUUUUGUUUCCCCAUUCAUGGCUUUAGAAGGGUCG
rnacentral:lncRNA from 1 species